GCCUGGGUGGCUCAGUCAGUUAAGCGUCUGACUUUGGCUCAGGUCAUGAUCUCAUGGUUCGUGGGUUCAAGCCCCACAUCGGGCU
rnacentral:tRNA from 1 species